ACAGCCAUUUACAUAGCCUCUGCAUUAGAUUAGAUUGUACCAGUGCUCUAGAGAUCACGAAGUGCACAGGACGUACAGGUGAUACACAGAUGCCAUGCCGUUUUAUAGAAGGGACUUGAGGAUCCAUGGACUUUAGUAUCCGUGAGGGUCUGGACCAAUCCCUGUGGGUCCUGAAGGGUGGGUGUGCUUUGCAUUUCAUAAAGCAUGUGUUCAUUUUGCCAUAGGAGGCUAUUCUGCAGACCAUCCUGUUAUUAAGGUCUUCUGGAGAGUUGUGGAAGGGUUCACUGAUGAAGAAAAGCGCAAACUGCUGAAGUUUGUAACAAGCUGCUCUCGACCCCCUCUCUUGGGGUUUAAGGAGUUGUAUCCCGCGUUUUGUAUUCACAACGGAGGCUCCGACCUUGAGCGGCUUCCCACAGCCAGCACCUGCAUGAACCUGCUGAAGCUCCC
rnacentral:sRNA from 1 species